rnacentral:rRNA from 1 species
UACGUAGGGUGCGAGCGUUUAAUCGGAAUUACUGGGCGUAAAGCGUGCGCAGGCGGUUAUAUAAGUCAGGAUGUGAAAUCCCCGGGCUUAACCUGGGAACUGCAUUCGAGACUGCAUUGCUAGAGUAUGGGAGAGGGAAGUGGAAUUUCCGGUGUAGCGGUGAAAUGCGUAGAUAUCGGAAGGAACAUCAGUGGCGAAAGCGACUCCUGGACCAAUACUGACGCUCAUGUGCGAAAGCGUGGGGAGCAAACAGG